rnacentral:rRNA from 1 species
AGUGAACGCUGGCGGUAGGCCUAACACAUGCAAGUCGAACGGCAGCACAGGAGAGCUUGCUCUCUGGGUGGCGAGUGGCGGACGGGUGAGGAAUACAUCGGAAUCUACUUUUUCGUGGGGGAUAACGUAGGGAAACUUACGCUAAUACCGCAUACGACCUACGGGUGAAAGCAGGGGAUCUUCGGACCUUGCGCGAUUGAAUGAGCCGAUGUCGGAUUAGCUAGUUGGCGGGGUAAAGGCCCACCAAGGCGAUGAUCCGUAGCUGGUCUGAGAGGAUGAUCAGCCAAACUGGAACUGAGACACGGUCCAGACUCCUACGGGAGGCAGCAGUGGGGAAUAUUGGACAAUGGGCGCAAGCCUGAUCCAGCCAUACCGCGUGGGUGAAGAAGGCCUUCGGGUUGUAAAGCCCUUUUGUUGGGAAAGAAAUCCAGCUGGUUAAUACCCGGUUGGGAUGACGGUACCCAAAGAAUAAGCACCGGCUAACUUCGUGCCAGCCGCCGCUGUAA